UGCAGAUCUCCGUAACCCCUUUAGAGGAUGACUGAUUUCUUUUGGUGUUCAGAGUCAAUAAUAAUUUCUAGCACCAUUUGAAAUCGGUUAUAGUGAUUGGGGAAUUGCACCUUGUGAAUU
rnacentral:pre_miRNA from 12 species